rnacentral:rRNA from 1 species
UACGUAGGGUGCAAGCGUUAAUCGGAAUUACUGGGCGUAAAGCGUGCGCAGGCGGUUUUGUAAGUCUGACGUGAAAUCCCCGGGCUCAACCUGGGAAUUGCGUUGGAGACUGCAAGGCUAGAAUCUGGCAGAGGGGGGUAGAAUUCCACGUGUAGCAGUGAAAUGCGUAGAGAUGUGGAGGAACACCGAUGGCGAAGGCAGCC